CGGAUACACGGCUCCAUUGCCGAGACGAAAGGGGGCGUGGUCAAAAGUCACAUGGUGACACGCCCACUUCCGUUCGGUCUUCGCGCCCCUUAAAACAAACAGCAUUCCAUUGAAUAACAGCCAAAAAGACACUGUAACAAGAAUGAUUUGAGGAUAAAAUGUAACUGGGUAGCUGAUGGGCAUGACAGCCUUUCAUGGCCUUCAAUUUCCUUUUGGCCGAUGACCAGUAGGAUUCAAUGUUCUGGGUAUGAACUCCCGUAGCUGGAUCAACAAAGUUGAGUGAGUGGUUCACACUUGAGUGGCUACCAACAUUGGGGAGAGAGCCAACCUGGCUAUAGGCACUCCACUGGUCCGAAUAAAUUGUUGUCCCUGCUGCAACAUGGGCAUUGAUUAUUGGGAGGAGUGUGGCUGCCCGUCGGUCUUGAACUAUUUCCAUAUAUCCUAACGAUGGAGUCGUGGAGGUGUCCACCAUCCCAAAUACCCACAUCUCCGUGGUGGUUGCCCUUCCCCGGUGGUGCUGAAGAGCAAAGGCUUGUGACGAAACAGUGAUUCAUCUAUCUGGACUACUACACCACUUCCACCGAGAAUGAUGCUGGUAUUUACCAGCUUCAUGCUGCAUACCUCCCGCAACCACUGAAACACAUUAAUGGCCGUUUCCUUGUUCACCUCCACCAUCUGAGCCACUGUACACACCGGAAGUUGGUAGGCCCAGAGGUGAAUCAGGAGGAUCCAAGUCCGAAGGGGAAUCUUUGAUUUCUCAAAGAAACUGCCCGCCCUUACAGUUUUCCUCGUCUUACACGCCUUGCACCACCACUUAUACCCAUCCUUCACAUCUCUCCUCAGUCUCUCUUCCAUGUCAUCACCACAACUAUAAUGAUUUGUGUUAAAUAAUUUUUUCUAGAGUUAUACUGUCUUACCGAACACAAUCCAUGUCAUCUGCGAGCAAACCAAGACUUCUUAGAUACACUAAUAUUUGACUUGGUGAGCCAAAAGCUACUGUACCAACAUUAAUGAGAGACAUACUAAAAUGUUACCAUGAAUUUAUCAGUGCAGUGGUGCGAAAUUUACAUGUGGCCGGGCAAUGCCCGCGAAAUAAAUGGGCGUUUGUAAUCGGCGCGAAAGAUGUGUACAGGAAGUGGGCGUGUCACCAUGUGACUUUUGACCACGCCCCCUUUCGUCUCGGCCAUGGAGCCGUGUAUCCGUCAUGAUCCGCGUUGUCUUGCUGCCAGACAUUCAUUGACCCAGCAUGAGGAUCUGACAAACUGAUGCUGAUGUGGACAUAAAUAACUCAAGUCGCGUUGAAGACGCUUUGAAGGACUGCGACUGCCUUUGCUUGUUGACAGUCUCCCUGGGUACACCAUCAACCUAUGUAGAAAAUAAUCGAACUUUCGAUGAAUUUCCACAAUGGCAUAUUUUCAAUGCCGUCUAUUAUGCAAGAAAGCAAGCUUCCUAACUCUUCCACAACGUUCCCUGGACUGUAGCUGACCUGGAGCUGAAAAGAUUCCUUUAUUGUGCAUAGCCUUUUGCUGUAUCUAUUCAUAAAGUAUUUUGUCAGCCAUUAUGAUAAUCAUUUAUUUUUUUGUUUUUUUGUUUCUGCUUCUGGUAAAAAAGAAAAACUACCAAGAAUGUAUUUCCUUUCCCUUUGUGUAUAUUUUUGAGUGUUCACAG